GGGUGCGAUCAUAACAGCAUUAAUGCACCGGAUCUCAUCAGAACUCUGCUGUUAAGCGUGCAUGGGCGAGAGUAGUACUAGGAUGGGUGACCUCUUGGGAAGUUCUCAUGUUGCACCCC
rnacentral:rRNA from 1 species